rnacentral:RNase_P_RNA from 1 species
UUCUCGUGUUGGAUAGUCGCUUUUAGCUUUACAGCUAGGAGAGGAAAGUCCGAACAUUCCCCUCUUUAUUGAGGAAGCGUAGCGGGUAACGCCCGUCGUGAGUAAUCACAGAGGUGCGAGCAGUGACGCCGGAGCCGAAAGGCAAUGGAGCCCUUCGGGGUUAAUCUUAUUGAAAAAUAAGGGUGAAACGGCCAAAUCCUUACGUGAAUGCAAGAUCGUGCCCAGGCAUCACCCGCAGGGUGAUGCAGAAGCUAGAUUUAAGAAAUAAGAAUUAAGAUCAAAUGCAUUCGCAUUAUUCUUAAAUCGUAAUUCAAAAUUCUUACAUCUGCAUCGCGCUCCGCGUGAUGCUUGGGAGAAUCGCUAGAGGUGCUUGGUAACAAGCAUCCCAGAUAAAUGACUGUCGCUCGCAAGAGUACAGAAUUCGGCUUAUAGACACGAGAACUAU